rnacentral:rRNA from 1 species
UACGAAGGGGGCUAGCGUUGUUCGGAAUUACUGGGCGUAAAGCGCACGUAGGCGGAAUGUUAAGUCAGGGGUGAAAUCCCGGGGCUCAACCCCGGAACUGCCUUUGAUACUGGCAUUCUCGAGUCCGGAAGAGGUGAGUGGAAUUCCGAGUGUAGAGGUGAAAUUCGUAGAUAUUCGGAAGAACACCAGUGGCGAAGGCGGCUCACUGGCUCAUACUGGACGCUGAGGUGCGAAAGCGUGGGGAGCAAACAGG